rfam:Otolemur garnettii contig160534, whole genome shotgun sequence.
AUUGUUUUAAGCUUCAAAAGCAAUUCUAGCAGAGCGGCCGGGUCAGACUGCAGAGCCGUUCCUUGUUGCCUUCCUUCUGAGAACAGC